GACACUGUGUGUUGUUGGGUAGGGGAGCGUUCUGUAAGCCUGUGAAGGUGUGCUGUGAGGCAUGCUGGAGGUAUCAGAAGUGCGAAUGCUGACAUAAGUAACGAUAAAGCGGGUGAAAAGCCCGCUCGCCGGAAGACCAAGGGUUCCUGUCCAACGUUAAUCGGGGCAGGGUGAGUCGACCCCUAAGGCGAGGCCGAAAGGCGUAGUCGAUGGGAAACAGGUUAAUAUUCCUGUACUUGGUGUUACUGCGAAGGGGGGACGGAGAAGGCUAUGUUGGCCGGGCGACGGUUGUCCCGGUUUAAGCGUGUAGGCUGGUUUUCCAGGCAAAUCCGGAAAAUCAAGGCUGAGGCGUGAUGACGAGGCACUACGGUGCUGAAGCAACAAAUGCCCUGCUUCCAGGAAAAGCCUCUAAGCAUCAGGUAACAUCAAAUCGUACCCCAAACCGACACAGGUGGUCAGGUAGAGAAUACCAAGGCGCUUGAGAGAACUCGGGUGAAGGAACUAGGCAAAAUGGUGCCGUAACUUCGGGAGAAGGCACGCUGAUAUGUAGGUGAAGUCCCUCGCGGAUGGAGCUGAAAUCAGUCGAAGAUACCAGCUGGCUGCAACUGUUUAUUAAAAACACAGCACUGUGCAAACACGAAAGUGGACGUAUACGGUGUGACGCCUGCCCGGUGCCGGAAGGUUAAUUGAUGGGGUCAGCGCAAGCGAAGCUCUUGAUCGAAGCCCCGGUAAACGGCGGCCGUAACUAUAACGGUCCUAAGGUAGCGAAAUUCCUUGUCGGGUAAGUUCCGACCUGCACGAAUGGCGUAAUGAUGGCCAGGCUGUCUCCACCCGAGACUCAGUGAAAUUGAACUCGCUGUGAAGAUGCAGUGUACCCGCGGCAAGACGGAAAGACCCCGUGAACCUUUACUAUAGCUUGACACUGAACAUUGAGCCUUGAUGUGUAGGAUAGGUGGGAGGCUUUGAAGUGUGGACGCCAGUCUGCAUGGAGCCGACCUUGAAAUACCACCCUUUAAUGUUUGAUGUUCUAACGUGGACCCGUGAUCCGGGUUGCGGACAGUGUCUGGUGGGUAGUUUGACUGGGGCGGUCUCCUCCUAAAGAGUAACGGAGGAGCACGAAGGUUGGCUAAUCCUGGUCGGACAUCAGGAGGUUAGUGCAAUGGCAUAAGCCAGCUUGACUGCGAGCGUGACGGCGCGAGCAGGUGCGAAAGCAGGUCAUAGUGAUCCGGUGGUUCUGAAUGGAAGGGCCAUCGCUCAACGGAUAAAAGGUACUCCGGGGAUAACAGGCUGAUACCGCCCAAGAGUUCAUAUCGACGGCGGUGUUUGGCACCUCGAUGUCGGCUCAUCACAUCCUGGGGCUGAAGUAGGUCCCAAGGGUAUGGCUGUUCGCCAUUUAAAGUGGUACGCGAGCUGGGUUUAGAACGUCGUGAGACAGUUCGGUCCCUAUCUGCCGUGGGCGCUGGAGAACUGAGGGGGGCUGCUCCUAGUACGAGAGGACCGGAGUGGACGCAUCACUGGUGUUCGGGUUGUCAUGCCAAUGGCACUGCCCGGUAGCUAAAUGCGGAAGAGAUAAGUGCUGAAAGCAUCUAAGCACGAAACUUGCCCCGAGAUGAGUUCUCCCUGACCCUUUAAGGGUCCUGAAGGAACGUUGAAGACGACGACGUUGAUAGGCCGGGUGUGUAAGCGCAGCGAUGCGUUGAGCUAACCGGUACUAAUGAACCGUGAGGCUUAACCU
rnacentral:rRNA from 1 species